rnacentral:tRNA from 1 species
UGGGGAGGUAGCUCAGUGGUAUAGUGCUUGCCUAGCAUGCAAGGGCCCUGAGUUCCAUUCCCAGCCCUAA